UACGUAGGCAGCAAGCGUUGUUCGGAGUUACUGGGCGUAAAGGGUGUGUAGGCGGUUGUUUAAGUUUGGUGUGAAAUCUCCCGGCUCAACCGGGAGGGUGCGCCGAAUACUGAAUAACUAGAGUGCGGGAGAGGAAAGUGGAAUUCCUGGUGUAGCGGUGAAAUGCGUAGAUAUCAGAAGGAACACCGGUGGUGUAGACGGCUUUCUGGACCGUAACUGACGCUGAGAUGCGAAAGCGUGGGGAGCAAACAGG
rnacentral:rRNA from 1 species